UACGUAGGGUGCAAGCGUUGUCCGGAAUUAUUGGGCGUAAAGAGCUUGUAGGCGGUUUGUCGCGUCUGCUGUGAAAUUUCGGGGCUCAACCCCGAACUUGCAGUGGGUACGGGCAGACUAGAGUGUGGUAGGGGAGACUGGAAUUCCUGGUGUAGCGGUGAAAUGCGCAGAUAUCAGGAGGAACACCGGUGGCGAAGGCGGGUCUCGUGGGCCGUAACUGACGCUGAGGAGCGAAAGCAUGGGGAGCGAACAGG
rnacentral:rRNA from 1 species